rfam:Desulfobulbaceae bacterium BRH_c16a BRHa_1004263, whole genome shotgun sequence.
CGCCCUGUGUGGCAACAUGCAGGGAGUUUGGGCAGGAGUCAGCAGAGGCCAUAGUAGGCGAAGGAAGUCACCAUGCAGGGGCAAUGGAGACUGGAAACGAGCCCGGCGAAUUGAAAAGCCGGGAGGACUCACCCCGCUGAAGGGC